CGCCCAUUCCCCCUCGUUCCCCUCUCUGACUCUCGGUUUCGGCGACGCUCAAAGACUCCGUCGCCAUGGCCACGCUCGAUCCCGUGCCCACCGAGCUCCCCACCGGCUGCGACCUUGUCCAGUAGAACCGUCGGGGUCCACUGCUUCGCCUACACCGAAGACCUCAAGCCCAUCGCCUCUCCAUCGCCAGAUCACCGUCUUCUUCUUCCUCCAGACGUCGAGCUCCACCGCGUUGAUCCGCAUCAGCUCGGGCUCCUCUGGCGUCCCCAAGCCUUCUCGUCAACACCCAUGGUGGAUCCCUGGAGCCAGAUGCCACCGCUAAUGGAUGCUACUACGUGAAGAUCGCUGACGACCAGAAGUAGUUAUUGGGUCCCAGGCAGGAGGCCUUGCCUCUUCUCUCGUUGUUGCUUUUAUGUUAGCCUUCUUAAGGCAUCUUUGGUUAACUUAUGUCUGUACUCAGAUAUUGUUGCUUCCGCUGACUCUUGUGUAUCGAGCUAUGUAUUCGAGCCCUCGAGGCCCCUGGCUUGUAAUAUAAAACUUGUUUUUUUUUAA